UACAGAGGUCCCGAGCGUUGUUCGGAUUCAUUGGGCGUAAAGGGUGCGUAGGCGGCGGGGAAAGUCUGAUGUGAAAUCCUGGGGCUCAACCCUGGAACUGCAUUGGAUACUUCCUUGCUAGAGUACUGGAGAGGAAACUGGAAUUUACGGUGUAGCAGGUGAAAUGCGUAGAGAUCGUAAGGAAGACCAGUGGCGAAGGCGGAUGUUCUGGACAGUUCCUGACGCUGAGGCACGAAGGCCAGGGGGAGCAAACGGG
rnacentral:rRNA from 1 species